AUUGAACGCUGGCGGCAUGCCUUACACAUGCAAGUCGAACGGUAACGGGCCUUCGGGUGCCGACGAGUGGCGAACGGGUGAGUAAUACAUCGGAACGUGCCCGAUCGUGGGGGAUAACGAGGCGAAAGCUUUGCUAAUACCGCAUACGAUCUACGGAUGAAAGCAGGGGACCGCAAGGCCUUGCGCGGACGGAGCGGCCGAUGGCAGAUUAGGUAGUUGGUGGGAUAAAAGCUUGCCAAGCCGACGAUCUGUAGCUGGUCUGAGAGGAUGAUCAGCCACACUGGGACUGAGACACGGCCCAGACUCCUACGGGAGGCAGCAGUGGGGAAUUUUGGACAAUGGGCGCAAGCCUGAUCCAGCCAUGCCGCGUGCAGGAUGAAGGCCUUCGGGUUGUAAACUGCUUUUGUACGGAACGAAAAGCCUUCUUUUAAUACAGGAGGGUCAUGACGGUACCGUAAGAAUAAGCACCGGCUAACUACGU
rnacentral:rRNA from 1 species